rnacentral:rRNA from 1 species
GAUGAACGCUGGCGGCGUGCCUAAUACAUGCAAGUCGAGCGAAUGGAUUAAGAGCUUGCUCUUAUGAAGUUAGCGGCGGACGGGUGAGUAACACGUGGGUAACCUGCCCAUAAGACUGGGAUAACUCCGGGAAACCGGGGCUAAUACCGGAUAACAUUUUGAACCGCAUGGUUCGAAAUUGAAAGGCGGCUUCGGCUGUCACUUAUGGAUGGACCCGCGUCGCAUUAGCUAGUUGGGGAGGUAACGGCUCACCAAGGCGACGAUGCGUAGCCGACCUGAGAGGGUGAUAGGCCACACUGGGACUGAGACACGGCCCAGACUCCUACGGGAGGCAGCAGUAGGGAAUCUUCCGCAAUGGACGAAAGUCUGACGGAGCAACGCCGCGUGAGUGAUGAGGGCUUUCGGGUCGUAAAACUCUGUUGUUAGGGAAGAACAAGUGCUAGUUGAAUAAGCUGGCACCUUGACGGUACCUAACCAGAAAGCCACGGCUAACUACGUGCCAGCCGCCGCAGUAA